UAUUCCUUGCCUAGCACUCAGGUUGUAUUGUGCCAUAUACCUGGGACCAAAUUACAAGCACAAUGAUGAAUCUUUUACCUGGAGUCAAGACAUGGGCAGGAUGAUGGAACUUAUCACUGGACCUUUCCACAGUGUUAUUGUGACAUAUGCCUUUGCCCAACAUGUGGUGAUUUGACUCCCCAGACUGGGUCCAGUUCACAAAUAAAAUUGUGCCGUAUACUUGGCCAAGAAC
rnacentral:lncRNA from 10 species